GGAGUCCACGAUCACCACAACGAUGAAGACUUAAAACGGCUACAGCGAAGACCAAGACUUAGACGACACGACUUGAGACGACUAUGGCUACGACCAAAACUACGACAGUGACAUUCAUGGCACAGCGGCCAGGUGUAGCAGAGACUGCUGCCAUCGCACAUAUAUACGUCCAUUAUAAUGUACACGAGUAAUGCGUGUGACGAGACUCACGGAAUUACGUCUGGAGAAUUGGAAUCAACGGAUUAUGUCCGCAAUGUGUACACACGAACAAACGUCGCGUACUGCAUAAUAUAUUAUUAUUCCAACACAAUGCCAUAAUGGUGCUGCGAUACUGCAGCGCGGAAGUGAAGAAGAAACGAAAAACAAUGAUUAAGAUGUGCUGCACCAGAUACGUCGAUGUGUACAAUAAGCUGCUCCUCGGCCCGUCUUCCGCCGAGCACUGCUGCAGAGCUGCAAAUGUUGACUCGACGAAAAAUGCGUGGCACCCUGUACGUAUACUAAAUGUAUCCUGAGUGCAUUAUAAAACUGUCCGGUAUACCUUCAGUAUACGUAACAGGGUGCCAUACCGAUCGUCCCGAAGCGAUCCCGUGGCGCUGUCAGUAGCAUCAUUACGACGUCACCGCCGCCUUUUUGCGUACAAAUUAAUUUUUAUACAUACAUUAAUAUACAUAAUUAUUCGUUGCUAAGCUUUAGAUAAAAAAAAAAAAAAAUUUAGAUUGUUACAAGAAAUAAAGCAAUGUAUAACUCUAACACAUUUAAUACACACGCACAUAUGUAUUACCUACAUAAUAAUAUCAUCACAAUAGGUAUACCUAUAACCUGUAAACAUGUAUAAUAAUAUAUAAAUUAUG